GGGUGUCAAGUGAAAACAAGCUCAGGGCUCCCACUGAUUCUGCAUUAUGAAUCAUCCCAACAGCAACACAAAGACCAGAUGGUUUCUGCAUUAUAGUUCCUGCUGCCAAGCCUGAGGAGCUGCCUGGAACUGCCAGUUUUCCAAGACGGGUGCUCCAGACUCUUGUUAAUACUUGUGCACCUGAUACGCUUCUGAUAUACAUAUUCUGGCUUUCUUUUUCCAUUUCUUUUUCUUUUUCCUUCCCUUCCUCCCUCCCUUCCUUCCUUCCUCUCUGUCUCUCCCUUCCUUCCUUCCAACCUUCCUUCCUUCCUUUCUCUCUCUCUCUCUCUCUCUCUCUCUUUCUUUUCAACCACAUUUGGUCUCAGUGGCUUACAACCAAGACUCUUGACAGAUUCAAGGCCUAAUGAACAGAAACUACCAGACUAUGGUGCAGCUUCAUCUCAUAUAAGUGGUGGGAUAUGAGGAAAAUCUUAUACCCAGUCUGAGCCUGUUUGCUCAUGUGGAAUGUGAGUCUGAUAUCUGCCUUCCUAAACUCUGAGCUUAUCGUGCAAUCCAAAAAAGCUCUUUGUUACUGUUAAGUAAUGGAAUAAUGAUAAUGAUGAUGAUGAUGAUAAUGAUACUAAAGAUACUUUAUUAGAGUUUCAUAAGGUAAAUAUGCAGGAAAAAGAAAUACAUAGUUGUGAGGUGGAAGGUGGAAUACUUAAAGCACUUUAAAAAAUUACAUAAUAAAUUUCUUUCUGAGUGUUAGAAUAAAAUAUUUGAAAUUCACACUACAUUUCAAUGAACCAAAAAAGAGAGUCAUUCCUUAAAGAAUGCAUUUAAUACUAUGUAAAUAAUGCUGCUCUUCAUUUAUUUUUCUUAUAAAUAUGGAUUUCUUUGUUUCAGAUUUUCUUAAGGGGAAUUCUAUCUGAAUGUGUUACAGCUAAAUUCAUGAGUCCACCCAUAUCAGAUUGCAUUUCAUAUCCCCAAAUGCAAUGCCUGUUAGAUCUUUUGUUUAUACCUUAACUGUUGGCUAUCUUUUUUCAAUAAACAUUUUUAUUGAAUUAUACAUUCAGAAGGGUAUACAAAUCAUAAAGGUACAGUUUAUUGAACUGUCACAAAGGGCACACACCCAUGUAAGUGACAGCUAGGUCAAAAACUGAAUACUCCUAGAACCUGAGAAAAUACCCUCAUGCCCCUCCGAGGCCAUACUUUAGCUGCCUGAAUUGCCCUUAAUUUUAACACCAGAGAACAAUUUUUCCUGUUUCUGAAUUUUAUUUAAGUGGAAUUAUAAACUAUGUAUCAUUUUGUAUAAGGCUUCUAUAGAUCAACAAUAUAUUUAUGAGAUUCAUUCAGGUUUUGAGAGUAGCAGUGGUUUUCCUUCAUUACUGUGUGUUAUUCUAUUGUAUAAAUCUACCACAAUUGGUUUACUCAUUCAACUCUUUGAAAUGUUUCCAGUUACAAAUGAUAUUGUUUUCAACAUUCUAUUUUAUCUUUUGGUGUACAUAUGUAUUUCUUUUAAAUAUUUACCUGGGGAGGUAAUUGCUGGGUCAUAGAAUAUGAAGAUGUUUAAUUCUUAUAGAUAAAAAAUAGUCUUCCCAAAGAGGUUCUGCAGUGUUCUGCAUCCUUGUCAACACUUGGCAUUAUCAGUUAUUUUAAAUUCUAGUCAUUCUAGUGGGGUUUAGUGUUAUCUCCUUGUAGUUUUAAUUUUCAUUCCCUUGAUUCUAAGCACACAACAAAGAAAAACUACAUUAUCUUUUAUUAUUUACACUGAGGGAUAUGCAGGGAGACAAACUGUACCCAAAGUGAACUCAAAACUUUACAGUCUUGCCCUCGAAACAAAUACAUGUACCUGAAUCUGCAUGUGUGUAGGAGAGCAAGUGUAUAACUGAGGAGUUCUUCAAAUAGCUUCCAUGCAGAAUUAAAUGUUUAUGAAAAGAUAAAUAAGUAAUAAACACAAGCUAAUGUGAAACUUACAUAUAUUAUUAAAAUUCAACUUAAGCACAACAACUAUUUAGAAUCUAGACCAACAAAAGAUUUUUUUUCAAGGGGUGGGUUAUUUUAUCAUAAGGUUUGUUAAAAUUGCUGGUCCAUGAUGAUAUUCAAAAGCACACCACCUAGAUGAUUUUAUUAUCAUUUUUAAACUCUCUACAGACAACACAUCCCUUUAUUGCCUGCACUCAGAGUGGAUCACUCUCACUGCCCCAUCCUUGGUUGCCACUAAGGGAUUUUAUGCCUUUAUAUGUUGAAUCAUCCUUGCAUUCCAGGAAUAAUUCCCAACUGAUCAUGGAGUAUACUCUUUAAAUAUUUUUUCUGAUGUCCUAAAUGAUUUCGGCCCCAUCCCAAUUUACAUCACCUACUUUGAAUGGGUUUCUGUGCCUUAAAACUCAAAGAGCCUGGUGCAUAGUGGAUGCUAAAUAAAACAUUACCUUUGGACCUAAAUUUAUGGGUUUCUAUGUUGACUUGGAGUGGAAACUCUUUCCUGGAGGCUAGUGGGAGUCAAAACAUCAUACUAAUAUUAGCAUCUUCUUCUAGGGAGUUAGAGAAUCAAAAAUAACUAAAAAAUAAAAGAGCACUUUUGUGGGAAGUUAAGGAAGGGACUUGACCCUUGGCAUCAUUAGCUCACUUGAGCUUGCACUCAUCUCUUUGUCAGUGAGUUUACUGGUUGGCAAAUGGACAUGGUAAGGACAGCACCAACUUUCAACUAGAUACAGACAGGAAGAAUCAGAAGUAGGAAUAUAGUUUAUUGACAUGUCAUUAUUUCUCUAGAUACCAUGAUCAUUUAGAGACAUGGUUUAUGACAUCUGUUUACAGUUUACAAAGGCAUUAAGAACCAAGUGACAGUGCAGUAAGAUUGCAUGAGACAAUACUCCUGUUUUCCCCCUGACUUUAUUUCUGUGUUGUAUCAGUUAUAUGACAGUUAUUUAACCUCUUUACUGUGACAUACAAUGGUAGGGUGUGCUAUGCUGUAUUAACAUAAUUAUGCUCCUUUAUUGACUAUAAAAAAAGAAUUUUUCAGAAGUCCUGGGCACUGUAAACAGCAGCUUCUUCAAGCUAAUGCACAGGAGUGUCAGCACAGAACUGCAGAAGUUAGUUAAUGGAGGCUGAAAUUCUGCACUAUUAAUAAAGCAUGGUAUUUAAGAAUUGAAGUGAAUUAUCUAUGAGGUUUAGGCAUGGAGCUCUAGGAAAUAAAUAUUUUAUAUAAUUACAACGUAAGAUUAACUGUCUAAAUAUUAUUCAUUGCCUUACAAUUUUUAGCACUUUAUCCCUCAAUAAUUAAUAUUAUUUACUAAAAAAAAAAAUAUACUAUUUACUAAAUAUCUAUUACUAUCAUUAAGAGGUAAAAUACUAUAUGUAAUAAUAAGUAUUAUGAAAUCAUUAUUUAUACAUAUCAAACAUGGGGCUGAGGAGGACCUGGGAAGGGAAAUCUGGGUGGGGGCCAAGGGCCGCCUGGAAUUUAUAACUUUAUUAUUAUAUUUAAAAUAAUAACUAUUCAAAUUUCCUGUACACUAUUCAUUGCAUGAUAAUAUAUAACAUUUAUUGCUAUAUAAUGACUAGUAUUUUAUUUAUUAGCAGUAGUAGUAGUAGUACUAGCAAUUAGUAACCAUUUACUAAAUAAUAAAUAUAUAGAAAAUGAUUUUAAUUAUAUAUGAAACCUCUCCCAUCUCUCCCGCCACUUCACCCCCAGGCUACGAUUCCUAGAAGAACUGGGCAGUAAUUAUCACAUUUUCGUGCUUCUCUGAAUGAUCUACAAUUUGUGACACUUGAGCCGUGUCUGGAAGGAUGAAUGGGGUUAGUUAGGAAAGGGGAGAUCGAAGGUCUUUCCAGGGAAGGGUCAGCAGGUACAAAGACAUAGAGACGUCUGGCACCUCAGAGGCUAGUUGGAAUGGCUGGGGGCUGGCUGUCACCCUUCACAGUCUCACAUCCCUAGUGCAAUUUCUAAGUGUCCUCUCUCUUCAGCAAGAUAGUCAAACUUCUUUAACAGAGGCUGACUUCUAAAAGAGCAAAAGUGAGAUUUGCCAGGUCUCUUAAGGGCUAGACCAGAAUUUGCAGUCAUUUUUGCCACAUUCUGCUGGUCAGUGCAAGUGACAAGGUCAGCAUAGAUUCAAGGGGAAGAGAAUUAGCCCUUACUUGUUGAUGAGAGGACAGACAUAUGUCUGUAACCAUGAGGAGAACUGGAUACUAUUAUAUGACACAGGAUUGUUCCUUGAAAUUUGGGAAUGAGAACAUCCCAGAUUAGCCACACCCCUUCUACUUUUAAAUUUCACUAUGUUUUGGACUACCUUACUCAAAAAUUGCAUUUCUUUUAUUACAUGAAGGAGAAAAAAGAAGGAAAAGAAAAAAGAAAUCCCUGUACAGGAAAUCCGCUUUUGAAGUUCCCCAAACUAAUUAAGAACACACUCAAGUCUCAUUUAUUUUAUAUUAUCCAUAAAAUAAUCAAAAGUUAACAGGUAUUUACCUAUGCCUGUUAGAGCAUUAAUUUCACUAGUAAAAUCAUCUAAAGUAUCAAAUUCUAGACAUCUGUUUAAACUAAUAAUUUUGAAGAAACUUUGUCUAAAGCAGAGUUGUGGCUCACUAGAUGAAAUAUUUUUAUUAGAUUUGAAAUUAGAUGUUCAUUUGUAGAAAACAGACACCACUUCAGGCACUUAAGAAGAAAGGGAUUUAAUACAGUGAAUUUGGUGCAUACAAACUAACUGGAAAUGUUGGAGGUACAAAAUCCAGGAUGCUGUAGAUCAACACCACAGAACAAGCCCAGCAAAGGACUGCUAACUGUCAUCACCAGGAAGCUGGCAAGUCAGGAAGCUGCAGUCUCAAGUGGACCAUCAUCUUAGUCAUCAUAUAAGGAAAGAGUAUUUCCUACAAUUGUUGAUCGGGGUAAGAGGAUGGAAAGCCACCACUUAAAUGUUGACCUCUGGACCAUGUUCCUAGAUCAACCCAGUGGGGUUUCUCCUGCCGUAUCACACACAGUCUCAAUGCUACUACUAGAGUUAAGAAAAUGCUUUCAAGAUAAAGAAGUAGAGGCUUUUCUAGAUGUGGCUUAACUCAGGAACGUGGUUUGCAGUACCACCAGCUGCCCCUGCCCUUCUGGCCAGCCUGUGCCCAACGGCUUCCGUGGAUGGACAGCUAGAGGUGGAGGCAAAGCAGCUUCCCAGCGGGGCUCUGCCUUUCACCACAGGACCGUAUUGGGUAGGUUACUUGACUUUUCUAAGCCUCGACUUCCAAAUCUGUAAAACAGAUAAAAACUCAGGCUGCCUCACAGGUUUGUGAGGACUGAAUGAGAAAACAGAUGCAAAGCACCUGCCCCAUAGAAAUCACCGAAUGAAGGUCAGAGCCCCUGAUGAUUUUAUGAUGAUCAAACUUAACACUUCAGGAAGCAAUGCAUUCUCAUUUGAGACAGCCUGAGUUACUGACAAAUGGUUUCUUAUAUAGAGCAGAAUUUUGCCUCUAGUACAUUUUAUUCAUUGGUCUUAAGUAUUCCCUCUGGGAAAAAAGCAAAUUAGGCAUCACACUCUUCCACAUGACAACCCUUUAAAUAGUUGAAGGUACAUUUCCCCCGUUCACCCAUAUGAAACUUGUGUCUGCCAACUUCCCCACCCAACCCACACUCAAGUUUUUAUAUACAAACUACUCUUUAGCCAGUUCUCCUCAAAUUUAUUCUUGGAAAUAUUUUUAAACUGUUGUUAUUUACAUUUAUUUCCAUUUUAUUUCACAACAGCUUUGACUAUCAUCUUAGCCCCUCAAGAGUUUUUCUUUUAUUGAAAUAUAAUUGAUUUGCAAUGUUUCCGGUGUACA